AUUCUACUCCCUCCGUUGCACAAUACAUGCCUUCUAUUUGUCAAAAUAUAUAUGUAUCUAGACAUGUUUUAGUAUAUAGGUACAUCCAUUUUUGGACAAAUGGAAGUCAAGUAUUUUGGGACGGAGGGAGUACACA
rnacentral:pre_miRNA from 1 species